rnacentral:rRNA from 1 species
AGUGGCGGACGGGUGAGUAACGCGUAAGAAUCUAACUUCAGGACGGGGACAACAGUGGGAAACGACUGCUAAUACCCGAUGUGCCGCGAGGUGAAACCUAAUUGGCCUGAAGAAGAGCUUGCGUCUGAUUAGCUAGUUGGUGGGGUAAGAGCCUACCAAGGCGACGAUCAGUAGCUGGUCUGAGAGGAUGAGCAGCCACACUGGGACUGAGACACGGCCCAGACUCCUACGGGAGGCAGCAGUGGGGAAUUUUCCGCAAUGGGCGAAAGCCUGACGGAGCAACGCCGCGUGAGGGAGGAAGGUCUUUGGAUUGUAAACCUCUUUUCUCAAGGAAGAAGUUCUGACGGUACUUGAGGAAUCAGCCUCGGCUAACUCCGUGCCAGCAGCCGCGGUAAUACGGGGGAGGCAAGCGUUAUCCGGAAUCAUUGGGCGUAAAGCGUCCGCAGGUGGUCAGCCAAGUCUGCCGUCAAAUCAGGUUGCUUAACGACCUAAAGGCGGUGGAAACUGGCAGACUAGAGAGCAGUAGGGGUAGCAGGAAUUCCCAGUGUAGCGGUGAAAUGCGUAGAGAUUGGGAAGAACAUCGGUGGCGAAAGCGUGCUACUGGGCUGUAUCUGACACUCAGGGACGAAAGCUAGGGGAGCGAAAGGGAUUAGAUACCCCUGUAGUCCUAGCCGUAAACGAUGGAUACUAGGCGUGGCUU